rnacentral:rRNA from 1 species
GACGAACGCUGGCGGCGUGCCUAAUACAUGCAAGUUGAGCGCUGAAGGUUGGUACUUGUACCAACUGGAUGAGCAGCGAACGGGUGAGUAACGCGUGGGUAAUCUGCCUUUGAGCGGGGGACAACAUUUGGAAACGAAUGCUAAUACCGCAUAAAAACUUUAAACACAAGUUUUAAGUUUGAAAGAUGCAAUUGCAUCACUCAAAGAUGAUCCCGCGUUGUAUUAGCUAGUUGGGGAGGUAAAGGCUCACCAAGGCGAUGAUACAUAGCCGACCUGAGAGGGGGAACGGCCACAUUGGGACUGGGACACGGCCCAAACUCCUACGGGAGGCAGCAGUAGGGAAUCUUCGGCCAUGGACGAAAGUCUGACCGAGCAACGCCGCGUGAGUGAAGAAGGUUUUCGGAUCGUAAAACUCUGUUGGUAGAGAAGAACGUUGGUGAGAGUGGAAAGCUCAUCAAGUGACGGUAACUACCCAGAAAGGGACGGCUAACUACGUG